AGUAAAUAGAUACCCCGGUAGUCCACGCCGUAAACGAUGAGUACUAGGUGUAGGAGGUAUCGACUCCUUCUGUGCCGCAGUUAAACACAAUAAGUACUCCGCCUGGGAAGUACGGUCGCAAGAUUAAAACUCAAAGGAAUUGACGGGGGCCCGCACAAGCAGCGGAGCAUGUGGUUUAAAUUCGAAGCAACGCGAAGAACCUUACCUAGACUUGACAUCCCCUGAAUAACGUAGAGAUACGCGAAGCCCUUCGGGGCAGGGAGACAGGUGGUGCAUGGUUGUCGUCAGCUCGUGUCGUGAGAUGUUGGGUUAAGUCCCGCAACGAGCGCAACCCUUAUCAUUAGUUGCUACCAUUUAGUUGAGCACUCUAGUGAGACUGCCCGGGUUAACCGGGAGGAAGGCGGGGAUGACGUCAAAUCAUCAUGCCCCUUAUGUCUAGGGCUACACACGUGCUACAAUGGUGAGAACAACGAGAUGCAAUACCGCGAGGUGGAGCAAAACUUCAAAACUCAUCUCAGUUCGGAUUGUAGGCUGAAACUCGCC
rnacentral:rRNA from 1 species